GAUGAACGCUGGCGGCGUGCCUAAUACAUGCAAGUCGAGCGAACAGACGAGGAGCUUGCUCCUCUGACGUUAGCGGCGGACGGGUGAGUAACACGUGGAUAACCUACCUAUAAGACUGGGAUAACUUCGGGAAACCGGAGCUAAUACCGGAUAAUAUAUUGAACCGCAUGGUUCAAUAGUGAAAGACGGUUUUGCUGUCACUUAUGGAUGGAUCCGCGCCGCAUUAGCUAGUUGGUAAGGUAACGGCUUACCAAGGCAACGAUGCGUAGCCGACCUGAGAGGGUGAUCGGCCACACUGGAACUGAGACACGGCCCAGACUCCUACGGGAGGCAGCAGUAGGGAAUCUUCCGCAAUGGGCGAAAGCCUGACGGAGCAACGCCGCGUGAGUGAUGAAGGUCUUCGGAUCGUAAAACUCUGUUAUUAGGGAAGAACAAAUGUGUAAGUAACUAUGCACGUCUUGACGGUACCUAAUCAGAAAGCCACGGCUAACUACGUG
rnacentral:rRNA from 1 species